rnacentral:sRNA from 1 species
GCGUGGACAAGCGAUUGAAGUGGAAAUCCUUUUGCCGCGGCUGCGCCGCGGCAAAAGAUUGCAACGGAAAGCGCGGUCCCGG